rnacentral:rRNA from 1 species
UACGUAGGGGGCAAGCGUUGUCCGGAAUUAUUGGGCGUAAAGCGCGCGCAGGCGGCUUAUUAAGUCUGAUGUGAAAGCCCACGGCUCAACCGUGGAGGGCCAUUGGAAACUGGUAGGCUUGAGUGCAGGAGAGGAGAGCGGAAUUCCCGGUGUAGCGGUGAAAUUCGUAGAUAUUGGGAAGAACACCGAUGGCGAAGGCAGCCAUCUGGACCGACACUGACGCUGAGGCGCGAAAGCGUGGGGAGCAAACAGG